rnacentral:rRNA from 1 species
UGGGGAAUCUUGCACAAUGGGCGAAAGCCUGAUGCAGCAACGCCGCGUGCGGGAAGACAGCCCUAGGGUUGUAAACCGCUUUCAGCAGGGAAGAAACUGACGGUACCUGCAGAAGAAGAUGCGGCCAACUACGUGCCAGCAGCCGCGGUGACACGUAGGCAUCAAGCGUUAUCCGGAUUUAUUGGGCGUAAAGAGCUCGUAGGCGGUUCGGUAAGUCGGGUGUGAAAACUCUGGGCUCAACCCAGAGAGGCCACUCGAUACUGCUGUGACUAGAGUGCGGUAGGGGAGCGGGGAAUUCCUGGUGUAGCGGUGAAAUGCGCAGAUAUCAGGAGGAACACCAGUGGCGAAGGCGCCGCUCUGGGCCGUAACUGACGCUGAGGAGCGAAAGCAUGGGUAGCAAACAGGAUUAGAUACCCUGGUAGUCCAUGCCGUAAACGUUGGGCACUAGGUGUGGGUCUCAACCAACGAGAUCCGCGCCGUCGCUAACGCAUUAAGUGCCCGCCUGGGAGUACGGUCGCAAGACUAAAACU